AGGAAGGAAAUAAUUAAAGCCUCCCAUGCUUGCUUUAAUCACCUUCUCUAUUUAAUUACCAUUGACUGAAUUGUGUGACAGGGUCAAUGUGUCUUUCAUAACAUGUACGGCCUUGCUAUGCUUAUUUUACUGACAAUAGAUUUGUGUUCCUUCACCUCUUGCAGAGGGGAAGCAGGUAUUCUGAGAAUCUGAAAACAUCUGGCAGAAUGCCCCACACUUGUUACACAUCACAGCCGUUACUUGCAAAAUUAAGUUAUAGCCUAAAUCUACGACUGCUCGUUAUUUAAAAACCAUACAGCAGCUCCCAGCUCUCCUUGAUGCUUUAGGGAAGGAAGGGGAGGUGGACUCAUUAUUAUGCCUAGAAAAUCAGAAGAGCCCCGGUUGGAUCUCUCUUGACCUCUUAGCUUGUUGCACUACAGGGACACGGAGCUGGGUAGAAAUCACACCCCUGUGUGCUGGCAGAUCUGACAGGGAUCCUAUUGAAGAUACUAAAAUAGGAGCUGGUGGGAUUUAUAUAUUUCCAUCCAAGGAAGUGGAGACAAAGAGUAACCUGUCAAGUCACAGAGAUUGUCUGUCUGUCCAAGGAGAAGGUUCACUUGAAGCAGUUAUUUCUCUAGGCUUGGUAGAGCUUCAGAGCUUUGCUGUCCACACUUCCAUGGAAUAUGUCCAUAUUUUCCAGUGAACCGCACGGCUCCAUAGAUGGUCCCAUGUUCCCUGGAAAUUCAGGUUCUGCCCCAAGCCACGCAGUAUGCUAUGUUGGCCACAGACUCCGGGGUACCAAGACUACCUCAAAGACUGACCAGACUGCAAGAGUGAGUUACAAGGUUUAAGUUGUUUUAUAGACCUGCUUUUGUAGAAUGAGGAUAUUUAUUUCUUACUAAAUGCUCCUGAAAGGUCUAAAAACCUUGGAAAUAAAAAUUUCAAUUCCCUGGGAGGCAGACUGGGCUCCUCAGAAGGAGCCACUGACAAUGGGCCUUUCGUCAACGACGGCCCUGACACAGGGAGGACAAGUCUGGAGCUGAGUCAGCUUCUGGGACACCUGGCUGGAGGAGAUAGCAAGGCCAGAGCUGACCUGGUCUCUGAACAUCUUCAAGGUCUCACCAAUCAUAAUAGAACUAACAUACAAGCCAUAGUACAAUCAAAAUUGUUCUAAUGUGACUGCCUUGCCCUUACCAAUCAUAUUGGAGGUUACCUAACCCUUCUAGAAAAUUCCCCUAGCCUGCAUAAAAAGGGACAUAUCAGCCCCUUAAAGUCAUUGCCAUUUUGAUGAAUGGUUGACCCCAGUGUGCAGGGCAUUUCUGCAGAAUAAAUGUUCUUUGCCUUUGCAAACUAUUUGAGUCUGGGGUCUUCCUUCAGUGAUUCUUGGACCCUAACACGAUGUUUACAACUGAAUGUUCAGGACAACAUAGUUCUAAUAUCAAAACUUUGACUUUGUCUCUUCUGUCUGAAUGACCAUUUAACACAGAGUGCGUGCUGUACCUUUCCGGUUUCCCUGUUUCUCAUUUCCUUGUGGAUUGUGCUAAGAUUGGGGAGGGUAAAAAGAGCAAUAGGCUGCCUGGAGACAUGGCAGGCUCUGUGGGCCUCUUAUGAUUUAUGUCUCUGCUGGAAUGCACAGAGCUCUGCAGUGAUACAGGGGGUCACUCUGUAUAGCUGUAAGGUUUAGUCUACAAUGCUGCUUCCCAGCUGCCACUCUGGCCGUCUCACUCACGCACGGGGCUUUCAGACACCACUUGGAAGGGCUGGGAAUUGCGUCAGCAUCAGCCCGUUUCCAUGUCUUCCUUUAGAAACACAAAAUUGUUUGAGCGUUCACAUCACACACAUGACUGUGAGCUGCGCUGUAUUAGACAUUUGACAUUUGUUUUGUCCUGGUAGCUUGGAACCCUGACUGAAAUAGACAUGGGGGUUUGGCUUAUGACUCUGUCAGUAAGCUGGAAGAGCCUAGGGAAAUGUCUGUCUCCUCCCACACAGCAGUCCAAGGGCCUAUGAAGUGAGGGACGCAGAUAGUCGGCUCUGAGGAAAGUCCAAUGCCAAUGACACUAGUCUUGGGGGCUCAGUGUAAUGGGAAGGAAGUCGUAAUGCCUUUGCUUAUCAGAUCAAAUGAGGUCCAUGAAAUCAUGGUUCCAGGAAAUAAAUAAAUAAACAAACAAACAAACACUAGUGGUGCACAUGCCUGUAAUCCAAGCAUUAGGGAGGCAGAGGCAGGAGGAUCAGGAAUUGAGGUUAUCUGUAGCUACAGAGCCAAUUCAAGGACAAGGACAUCCUGGGCUAAAUGAGACUCCAUUAAAAAAAAUACAAUUAAUUUUAAAAGGGAAGUAGCUCAAGUGAAACAGGAGAAUUUUAGAGAAAGAAAUAGAUGUUGUCAUAAAUAUCCCAUAGAUAGGGCUGGAGAGAUGGCUCAGGGGUUAAGAGCACUGGCUGCUGUUCCAGAGGUCCUGAGUUCAAUUCCCAGCACCCACGCAGCAGCUCACAGCUGUCUGUAACUCCAGUUCCAGGGCCUCCAACACUCUUACACAGACAUGAAUGCAGGCAAAACACCGAGGCACAUGAAAUAAAUAAAUACAUACAUAAUGAUGAUAAUUUUAAAAUAUCCAGUGACCGUAUGAAAAAUAAACAUUUUAAAAAAAUACAGUACUAACCAAGCACCCGUGUGGGCUGGAAGCUCCAUCGAUGGGCUGAUAGUGAAAUGAGUAUUCAAAGCAAAAGGAAAUUAUGAAUAUACCCAGUUUGGGGGGGGUACAUCCGUUACUUCUCAUACUCGACAGGAAGAAUUACAGGGAAAUUUUUUUUCUUUUGGGUGACGUUUUUAGAAACAUUGAGCCCACCCUGGCACGGGGAGGUACAACAGGGCAGAACACAUGAAGCAGUGAUGAAAGGGGAGAAGGCAGGAGGCGGGCCUGCAGCCUUCAAAGGUCCAUCCUAUUGGCCACUUCCACCAGCUAGGCUCCGCCUCUUACAGGUUUUGCACCUCCUUACCCAACCAGAGCCAUCAGAAAAACCAGAAUGCGAGGAGGCAAGAUGGAGCCUGGACUGAUGUGGCAGAUAGCAAAAGGAGGGAUUCUCCAUGGCCACGGAGAUAGCUAAGGCAGAGAAAGCAAAGGGUCGAAGGUGUGGGGGAAGAAACACCAGCGCCCUUUCCCUCAAUAGGCCUAUCCAGCUGUGUCACACGAUGACCUGUCCGGCCGGUAAAUUAUCUGACGGCGCCGCAGCAGUACUUUGAUAAAACAUUUUUAAAGAUCCAAUGUGAGAAGAGUAACACCGAAGUAAGAGGCAUGACACUCAACUGUCCCUGUCAUGUGCUCUAUCAGUUAAACGGGCCACGUGUAGCAAAAACAGUCGUGUUUUCUCAUCUGUUAGCUUUAAGAAUUUGUUCCAUAGCUUCUGGUUGCCAGGACCUGAGGAGGCCCUGGAAGAAUUUAGUGGAGGAAGAAGACAUUGUGGUCUCCGCCUGUGUGGAUCCUGGAAAUUGGUCAAAUAAAAGCAGAGGGGAACACAGCAGCUCCCUCAAUACAAUCACACACGGAUGCGCCAAGGUUAGCAAAGGAGGCAGCUAUCCAUCACUCCUUUGCCGCCCUUGAAGUGCUGGAGACUCAUUUUAUUAAUGGGGCUGUCAGAUUUCUUUACAAUGUCAAACAGAUGAAGAGGAAAUAGAAACAGAGCACUUGGCUGGCUGCGUUCUGAGAAUCCAACCAGUGCGGCGACUGGAUUCUAAAACACUGCAGGCCUUGACGACAGGGUGGCUGCAGAGAGAGCAAAGGGACUCUCAUUCUCUCGGAAUUUUUAUAAGGGUUUUAUAAAUGCCAGAAGUAAUACAUGUUCUUUGAACACAUCUAGCGAUGCAGGGGAGACGCUGUGUGCCAGUAAUAACACGCCAGCUGCAGGCCGUGUGAUCGUGACUUAACCCAGAAGCGUGCUAGAACCAGUCUGCUGUAUCACUCCGCCCUUGACUCUUGUCCGAAGCCUUUGGGAAGGAGGCUCUCAGAAACCUCUGGGACGAACGGAACCACAGUCCCACCCUCGAGUUCCCACUAUUCUUCUUUAGCUCCUGUGAAGCGCCAGGAAAGACUUAGCUGCGCAGGGACUGAAGAGCAUCUUUACAGGUGGAGAAGAGGUAGCAACGUCGGGAUGUUGGUGUGAAAAGGUGUCCUGAUUUUCCAAAGAACCGGGAAAUGAGCACUAGGGAACGGGAGUGGAGUUCGGACAAUGGUGUGGUUGAUAUCAAGCCAUCGUGAAGUUUUAGUAUGGGAACUAAAUAAUUUGAAGUUGCUUUAUAAAAACCCAACUUAAUUUUCCUUAAUUCUGGACAGCGUCACGGGUAGAAAGUAACGCGCUAGAGAGAAGAUUUUACUGUUUUGAGCUGACAUCUAAAAAAAAAAAAAGAGAGAGAUGGCCAGAAGUCUAGUGGACUGACUAGAAACUCACAUUUCUAUAGAGUGUUGAUUGAUGCCUCUGUGUUGAUGUGGAAGAAGAUCCGUACAAGUUGUAGAAAGUUUUUAUCCUCUCAAUAACAUCCAUCAAUUUCAAGCACAAUAAGAGAAAUCUGGCUGGAUAGAAGCUUACCUAAGUACAGGCAGGGGACUAGACUUACUCACAAGGCCAAAUGACUGCAGCUUGAUGUGACUGACAACUGGCUCAGAAUUGCUUCUGUGUUAUUAAGAUGUACAGUGUCUAAGCCACGGUGUAAGAAGAGGGUGGAGUGAUGAAUUCAGGAAUGUCAAGCUCAUUUGAUGCCUUUGUGUUGGUAUAACGAGAUCCAUUUCCACUUCAGUUAGAGGGAUGCUUUCCCAUCAUCGUGCCAAGCUCUGGUGGCUUCUUUUGAAGGCUUGCGUUCUUUGUAAGCUGGAGAAUUUGUUCUGCUGAUCAAGAAGAUCACGGAGGAGCGACCGAGAGAGUCCAGCCCAUAAAGUGCUCAACUUAUAAACAGAAGGACCUAAGUUCGAUUCCUAGAACCUACACAGAGAAGUAUUUUGUAAUCCCAGUAAUGAGCUAGGCAGAUCCCUGAGGCUCGCUGGCAGGCCACCCGUGCCUGCUUGGUGAACUUCAGGCCAAAUGAGAGGCUCUGCCUUGAAAAAUAAAGUGAACUGGAUGGUUCCUGAA